ACGUUGCACUGCUGUUUUAUUUAGUGUUUGUAGGUUUUUUUCAUCCCAAAGACUUUACGGAGCAGCAGGAGAUUGAAUGAAAACUAAAAGGCAGUGGCUUGUUUUACUUUAUGAAGUUUACUGUAAGAGAAGUUUCCCACAUAU
rfam:Schizosaccharomyces pombe chromosome I, complete replicon